rnacentral:lncRNA from 1 species
UUUAUUUUAUUAUGCCAACAAUUAAAUUUUAGUGGCUUAAAUAUAUCAAUUAAUUAAUAUAGGAAUGAAUGUUCCUUCAUCUUCCCUCAAUAAUACCAUUAGGGUCUAAUUUUAAUGCUAUAAUCUCAUAUUUAAUUAUGCAACCUUUUGUUUAGUGCCUUUUGGCUUCUUCAAACUCUAUAAAUAUUAAGUAGUUAAGAUUUGUGG